GCCACCAAUCAUUAAGAAUAUCAGAAAUAGCUACAUAAUUCAAAUAUUAUGUCAAGUUGCAACUCCAGAUCUUAAUCACAAACAGAUCAUAAUUCAAAUAUUAUGUCAAGUUACAUAUUAAGCUAUAUUAAGCUCUCCAAAUAUAGUGUUUUUAAAAAAAAAACAUAGUUCAAUAAUUUUCUCCGAAAAGUGAGGCCUAGUUAUAUAAAUACGGAGAAUUGACAAACAGAAGACUGAGGAUGGAAUUAGAAAAUUAGGAAUUGAAAUUUGAACAGGCAGGGCUGCCGGGGUUAAGGCAACAUAGUUGGUAAUUUCGUAUAAGUAUACAACAUUAGGAAGAAUUAAAGUAAAAGAAUGAAUUUGGAGAUGAAUAAUACCUUGGUGAGAGCUAUAACGGCUGUCUUUGAAGAUGAAUAGGCAAGACCUCCAGGUAGCUGUCCACGAUUUAGACCAGCAAUAGAAGAUUUGCACAGAGCUCGCUGCAGAGACCAAACAGGUAUCGAGACUCGAGGGGCACAACCGCACAACAGAGACAUGGAGGGACAGAGAGAGAUUGUGAGUCGUGACGAUGGGCGAUGAGACAGAGAGAGAUCGUGACGAUGGGCUGAGAUUUGGGCGCCAUGAAGAGGAGAGCUCUCAAGCACUGAAGAAGGAGAAAUCAGAAAUUAGAAGCAGAAGACCUAAACUUAAAGUCUGAACUGAAGGCGUAAUUUUUUUUUAAUGUUUAAGUAGCAAAUCGGUCAAAACUGUGAACCGGUCACCUGUUCACUGGGUCAUCCGGUUGGACCUUCGGUUCACCGGUUCUUAGCAGUUUUUGAGCAAAACUGGUUCAAUGGUCCAAACCGGACCGUUGGCAGGACCAGUUCCAGUUUUUACCGGUCCUACCGGCGAUUCAGUUCGGGUUUUAAAACCUUGCUCUUUAGCAGUGUUACAAAGAGAUGAAGUCCUUUAAUGCUUCUCUACUGUGUUAAUAAAUUUAUGUAAUGCUCUCCUCAGCCAUAUCUGUGACGACCCCAAAAUCGGGACCAAAUUAAUCCAAUAUUAGGACUAACUUAGUCUCGACCUUGUGCGUUCAAUACAAUUUAUAUUCAGCUUUACAUCAUACAAGAAUGAAAUAAUAGCUAAAAAUGUGGAAAAUUAAAAUUUUUCUUUCUUCUUUCCUGUGUUCCACGAAUCGCAACCUUUAUGAUCUCCUGUAUUAGUUAGUUAAGUGAACUAUGAAAGUUCAAGUACCAAUGCUUAUCAUUUUUAUAUACGGCUAUUAUGCCUGUAUAUUUCUACAUACAAACAAUCACCACAAUACAUCUCGUUUCAAAAUAAACAUUUUCUUAUUUAUUGAAUAUCUUCGAUUGUACAUAAUUGCUAACCUAUACAUGUCAACACUAUCAACUUCUAAAUCAAAGAAAGUAUUGUUCUUUCGCAUAUCGUUCAAUUCUCAUCAUCCGGACAACAAGUAAUAUCUCAACAUGUCAUUAACUUGCAAAAAGUUUAUUUUUGCAAGAUUGAGCUCGACAGCUCAACAAAUCCAACAGUUUUCAUACAUCACAUAACACAUAAGUUCAUGCUCAGUUCAUAAUCAUACUAAACAUGCAUUAUAACCUCGAAGGAUAAUAUUUAGCAUAUCACAUAUCAUGUCAAGACUGAGCAUAUCCGCUUAAGUCAUAAGUUGACUUUCAUACUUCAAUGGCAUAGUAGGUAAAUCAUAUAAUCAUGUCAAGUUCAUAUAACAAAUAGGACUUGGACGACUUGCCUUAAGCGUUCUUCUUCUUCUUCUUCUUUGCUUUAAUCACCCCUUGAUCUUGAUCUUCUUCCUCUCCUUCUUGAUCCGGCUGACUCUCCCUCUUCUCUCCAAUUUGUUAGAAUUUUCCUUCUUAGUUUUGGUGAAUUGGUGAGUACUAAGUGGAGGAGUAAGGGCCUAUUUAUAGAUAACUCAAGACUUAGCCCCUAAGUCUCAUGUUUUAACAAGCUUGACACCUCUUGCUAAAUUAAGCUUGACAAGGCACAUAGUCAGUCACCUCGUGCUAGGUUUUAGCUUGACAAGGCUUAUGGUCAGCCACUUCGUGCUAGGUUUUAGCUUGACAAGUCAGCCACCUCGUGCUAGGUUUUAGCUUGACAAGGCUUAUGGUUAACCACCUCGUGGUAGUUUUAGCUUAACAAUGCUUAUGGUCAACCACCUCAUGCUAUGUUAAAAGCUUGACAAUGCCGCUUGUAACUGAAAAUAUCUUCUAAGUAGCUUGGUCAAAAAUAAUUUUUGGUUGAUUGUGGGGCUGAUUAAUGGCAACCUGCUUGUGUCGUGCUUUUGAUUUUUACCAGCUAUAGAAAACCAAAUUCAUGUCCUUAAUCCGAUUGGUCCAAUGUUGUGUCUUAAUUACUUAAUCAUGAAGCUUAAGUAGCUUACAAGUUACUUAACUUGGAAGCACUACAAAUCACUAUAUCAGUUUAAGCACGACAAAGCAGCUUUUCGUAAAUGUACCGAGAAGCUCAUCGGUGAAAAUAUUUUUGAACUUGACGUUUUUCUCUAAAAAUAUUUUUAUUUCGUCUAUGAAACUGCAACACAUACACAUAAUCACAUAAACGCACAUACUAGGUCUUAAUUCGACCUUAAAUCUUAUGAAAUAACAUUUACACAUAAUAAUAUCCAUUAAAUUUUAUCUUAUUAGAUAUUCAUAUUCAUGAAUCCAAAUAAUAGUUUACACAUUGUCUGGUUGUCAAAACAUAGCACAACUUAUAUCCACUAAUGCAGUCCAAUUUUCAUAACUUAUCGCAUAAUAAGAAUUUUGUAUAUUAAAUUCUUAUUUUAAUAUUUUACGAAAACUCGGAGUGUCACAUUCCCCCCUAUAAGGAUUCCGUCCCCGGAAUCAUAAUACCGAACCUAUCUUGGUUUAAAUCUAUUUUCCCUUAAUCAUGUUAAUUCCCUCUUAUCAGUCUUGUUCCGUGAUAAUAAAAUAUAUUAUUUUCACAUAGCAUAAAACACACAUAUUCAUGCAUCUCCAAAUAUUAAUAAUGUUCCGCUUUCUCAUACUUAUUCCUCUAAUAUUCAAAAGUCCAAAAAUUCUCAGACUUGUGCAUUUUUUAAUCUUCAUGCAACUAUGUCCAUCCAUUCUAUUAUUCAAAAAUCUUUAUUCUCCAUAUCCUUCCAUAUCCCCUUCUUCAAAGAUUCGUUUAUACAGCUUGCUGUAUUCUAUGACCCAUUCCUUUCUAAAGAACUUCAUUCUUUCUAUACUCCACUGUCAGAAUAGAAAUACUUCACAAUUGUUCAACAACUGUGAGGCAAAUAUAAAGAACUUAAGAAUUCAAACGAUUCGCUAAGGAUGAGCGUUCACGAAAUUUAUUUUAAAAAGGUUUUAACAGAAGUUAAUCUACAAACCAUCUUGUUUAUCUUGCUUGUGGACACGUAGGUGAUUAGCCUAUCAUGGCCUGUGUUAGUUCUUGCUGGAACGACAUUCGCGUUCAUCUUGUGUAUAAUUUUUUCCCCCAUUCAGGGAUGUUCUGGAGUCUAUACCAAAUCAAUUCAGUUGGACAGUUCAAAAGCUUAGUAUUAGCAAUGAAAUAUCUACGUCUAGCCAAUUCAAAUGGCUUUGACACUACUUUAAUUUAUUUAAAAUAUUGGAAAUCAUUUUAUGACGCAUAAUACCGCACUGUUUUUUAAAAAGCCGUUGAUAAUGCUAUCAUUUUAUGACUUCGUCAUGCUACAUCCUACCAUAGUGGGAUGACGAAUCAUAGAUCACAUCCAACACUAGGUGAGACUGAAUUAAUGACUUCAUCAUUUGUUACAUCGACAUCAUAUUAGUGAUGCAAUGUUGACUAAAAUACAUUUUGAUAUUUUCAAAUUUUGUCUAGCCGAAACAAUUAGCAUAGACAUAAGAGAUAAUCGAACUUUUUGAAAUUUAUUGGUUCAACAAUUUGACCCAAUAUUUAUAUAUAUAUAUUUCUUAAAAACGAAAGAGCAAUAAUCUGUACGAUACCAAUAAAUUUCGAAAUCUAGCAUAACUAGAGGAUUUGAGAAUAUCCAUUUCUUCCUUCAUCAGCUUCAACUUUCUCUUUAUAGCUCCAAUAUACAAUCCUAUCACGGGUUAAAUACAAAGUCGACCACUGAACUUUUCUGAUAUUUGGGUAUUGAGCCCCUUUCUUCUGGUCAACGCAAACUGAUCCCCUUUCUAUUCAAAAAUUUGGACCUUGAACCCUCAGGCGCCACAUGUGCGUUGACCUGCACGUGGCACACGUGACGCCUAUGUGGCACACAUGGUAGGUCUGACGUGAUAUUUAAUAUUUUAAUUUGACACGUGAGCAUUGCUGAUGUGGCUUCUUUUAAUUUUUUUUCAAAAAUUUGCCCUUGCAAAGAUUUGAACUCACAACCUUACAUUUGAAACUUUGACCAUAUGACCACUAGAGCAACACAAGCCAACUGUUAAUAUUUUGCAAGAAUUAAUCUUUAUAUCAAAACAUAAUAUUUCCCCAUCUUGCUAACAUUAGCAGUUGUAGUACUAAUAAUAAUAAGAACAAUAACAAUAAUAAUAUUAUUAAUAAUAAUAAUAACAAUAACAAUAACAAUAACAAUAAUAAUAAUAAUAAAAAUAAAAAUAAAAAUAAAAUAAAAUAGUAAUAAUAAUAAUAACAACAAUAACAAUAUUAUUAUUAUUAUUAUUAUUAUUAUUAUUAUCCAAUUUGUUAGCUUUGUUGUCACUAAAUUAUGCUAUUCUCCCGUGUUCAUGCAUCUUAUGGUAAGCUCAUAGCUCGUUGAGAUAACCUGUAUGCUUAUGCAGAUCAUAUUUGUAUUUAAAUCAAAUUAAUUCCAGAAUUUUGUUUUCUUAUUUUAGUCAAGAAAUUAAUUAUUCAUGCGAAAGAUGGUGCUAAAAUUUGGAUUUUAUAUUUGUUGUUAAAAAUUCUUUUGUUUCCAAUAUAGAUGUAAAAGAAUAUUAAAGUAAGACAAUAGGCUUUCAGAGAUGUAAAUUUUGUUGAAUCUAAAAAAUAAUAUUAAUUAAAUAAUAACAUAACUGAUCAAACUACAUAAUAUUAAUUAAUUUUUAUUAGUUUUUUAGUGUUAUGGGAUUGAUUAUCUUUUUAGUUUUGCAAUUAGUGAAAGGGAAUCAGAUCCCUUAGUUUUAUCUUUUAAGUGUUUAUAUGGACAGUUUUAAAAAAUUUAUAUUACAAGGGAUUGGUUUGAUAGUCCUAAAUGAUGAUAAAAUUAUUUUUAUCAUACAUCUNNNNNNNNNNNNNNNNNNNNNNNNNNNNNNNNNNNNNNNNNNNNNNNNNNNNNNNNNNNNNNNNNNNNNNNNNNNNNNNNNNNNNNNNNNNNNNNNNNNNAUAAACAAGUCCAAGUCUAAUUCAUUUUAAUUAGUGUUAUGAAGCUGGCCGGGGUGAUGUUGAGAUUAAGAAGGUGAUGGUUGUUGUUGUUGUGGUAUUAUUAUUAUUACUACAACUGCUAAUGUUAGGCAAGAUGGGAAAAUCUUAUAUUUUGAUAUAAAGAUUAAUUCUUGCAAAAUAUUAACAGUUUGCUUGUGUUGCUCUAGUGGUUAUAUGGCCAAAGUUCCAAAUGUUAGGUUGUGAGUUCAAAUAUUUGCAAAGGCAGUUUUUAGGAAAAAAAUCAAAAGAAGCCACGUUAGCAAUGCUUACGUGUCAAAUUAUAAUAUUAAAUAUCAUGUCAGACCUGCCACAUGUGCCACGUAGGUGCUACGUGUGCAACGUCAGCAGGUCAACGCACAUGUGGCGCCUAGGGGUUCAAAGUCCAAAUUUUUGAAUAGAAAGGGGCUCAGUUUGCGUUGACCGGUAGAAAAUGGCUCACUACCCAAAUAUCAGAAAAGUUCAGUGGUCGACUUUGCAUUUAACCCAUCCUAUCACUAAUACCUAGUAUACUGAAAUUAAUAAGUUCUAAAUCUAUAACAUUCCUAUACCGUAGUAUAGUUCAUCAAACUUUCCACACAUUAUGCAUUUAGGAUUGCCAUAAGAAUAUGAGUUCAAGAACUUAUCCUAUCAAUACGUAGUCCAAGAACCAAUCAGGGACUGUCCAUACGCUUAGGGGUUCAAAACAUUCCAUAUGAUUAUGAAUCACAAACUUUUCGUAAGCAUGAGUUUUAAGAACUCGUACCUAAUCCUAUAUUUUCUACUAUCAGAUAUAAUCCUAUAUUUUCUACUAUUAGAUAUAAAUAUGAGAAACGAAUCACCUUCUCACCAAACAUAUAUCGCUUAGGGGUUCAAAACAUUCCAUAUAAUAAGCUAUGUGGUCGUUAAACCAAACACAAAACCUCCGCCCAUACAAAGGUUUGUACAACUCAGCUAUCACAUGAGUCCUCAUUGAAAUCACACCUAUUCCUAUCUUGUUCUUAUCUUGCUCUUUACUUUAAUACGAAUUUUCUUUAAUUCGUAUUCAAACACCUUUUUAACUCUUGCUAAGUUUUAUUUUUAUAGCAUUCAGCUAUACCUUCAAUUCUUCGAUUGAUCAUUAGCCCAUUUUAUGACUUAAGAAGAUCACGUAGUGAUCUUCCCCUACAAAUUAGGUCAGGUGUUCCCUGAUCCUUCGGCUUUUCAAGAUUCUUCUUUGAAUCUUUGCGUAUUAUCUUAUUGCAUUAUUUUAUGAAUUUUAAAUUCAUUUUAAGAUCAUUUAAACCUCAUUCAAAUUUAAACUUAGCAUUCCUUUUCUUUCCCAUCUAUCUUGUUUACGGUUAUAGCCUAGGAUACACUUAUCUAAGGUUUAUAACCCAUAACUUUGAUACCACUCUGUGACGACCCCAAAAUCGGGACCAACUUAAUCCAAUAUUAGGACUAACUUAGUCUCGACCUUGUGCAUUCAAUACAAUCUAUAUUCAGCUUUACAUCAUACAAGAAUGAAAUAAUAGCUAAAAAUGUAGAAAAUUAAAAUUUUUCUUUCUUUCUUGUGUUCCACGAAUCGCAACCUUUAUGAUCCCCUGUAUUAGUUAAGUGAACUAUGAAAGUUCAAGUACCAAUGCUUAUCAUUUUUAUAUACUGCUAUUCUGCCUGUAUAGUUCUACAUACAAACAAUCACCACAAUACAUCUCAAAGAAACAUUUUCUUAUUUAUUGAAUAUAUUCGAUUGUACAUAAUUGCUAACCUAUACAUGUCAACACUAUCAACUUCUAAAUCAAAGAAAGUAGCAUAUCGUUCAAUCCUCAUCAUUCGGGCAACAAGUAAUAUCUCAACAUGUCAUUUACUUGCAAAAAGUUUAUUUUUGCAAGAUUGAGCUCGACAGCUCAACAAAUCCAACAGUUUUCAUGCAUCACAUAACACAUAAGUUCAUGCUCAGUUCAUAAUCAUACUAAACAUGUAUUAUAACCUCAAAGGAUAAUAUUUAGCAUAUCACAUAUCAUGUCAAGACUGAGCAUAUCCGCUUAAGUCAUAAGUUGACUUUCAUACUUCAAUGGCAUAGUAGGUAAAUCAUAUAAUCAUGUCAAGUUCAUAUAACAAAUAGGAAUUGGAAGACUUGCCUUGAGCGUUCUUCUUCUUCUUCUUCGCUUUAAUAACCCCUUGAUCUUGAUCUUCUUCCUCUCCCUCUUGAUCCGGCUAACACUCCCUCUUCUCUCCAAUUUGCUAGAAUUUUCCUUCUAAGUUUUGGUGACUUGGUGAGUACUAAGUGGAGGAGUAAGGGCCUAUUUAUAGAUAACUCAAGACUUAACCCCAAGUCUCGUGUUUUAACAAGCUUGAAACCUCUUGCUAAAUUAAGCUUGACAAGGCUCAUAGUCAGUCACCUCGUGCUAGGUUUUAGCUUGACAAGGCUUAUGGUUAGCCACUUCGUGCUAGGUUUUAGCUUGACAAGGCUUAUGGUCAGCCACCUCGUGCUAGGUUUUAGCUUGACAAGGCUUAUGGUCAACCACCUCGUGGUAGUUUUUGCUUCACAAUGCUUAUGGUUAACCACCUCAUGCUAUGUUAAAAGCUUGACAAUGCCGCUUGUAACUGAAAAUAUCUUCUAAGUAGCUUGAUCAAAAAUAAUUUUUAGUUGAUUGUGGGGCUGAUUAAUGGCAACCUACUUGUGUCGUUCUUUUGAUUUUUACCAGCUAUAGAAAACCAAAUCCAUGUCCUUUAAUCCGAUUGGUCCAAUGUGGUUUCUUAAUUACUUAAUCAUAAAGCUUAAGUAGCUUACAAGUUACUUAACUCGGAAGCAACAAAUCACUAUAUCAGUUUAAGCACGAUAAAGUAGCUUUUCGUAAAUGUACCGAGAAGCUCAUCGGUGAAAAUAUUUUUGAACUUGACAUUUUUCUCUAAAAAUAUUUUUAUUUCGUCUAUGAAACUGCAACACAUACACAUAAUCACAUAAACGCACAUACUAGAUCUUAAUUCGACCUUAAAUCUUAUGAAAUAACAUUUACACAAUAAUAUCCAUUAAAUUUGAUCUUAUUAGAUAUUCAUAUUCAUGAAUCCAAAUAAUAGUUUACACGAAUUGUCUGGUUGUCAAAACAUAGCACAACUUAUAUCCACUAAUGCGAUCCAAUUUUCAUAACUUAUCGCAUAAUAAGAAUUUUAUAUAUUAAAUUCCUAUUUUAAUAUUUUACGAAAACUCAGAGUGUCAAGGCUUAUGGUCAGCCACCUCGUGCUAGGUUUUAGCUUGACAAGGCUUAUGGUCAACCACCUCGUGGUAGUUUUUGCUUCACAAUGCUUAUGGUUAACCACCUCAUGCUAUGUUAAAAGCUUGACAAUGCCGCUUGUAACUGAAAAUAUCUUCUAAGUAGCUUGAUCAAAAAUAAUUUUUAGUUGAUUGUGGGGUUGAUUAAUGGCAACCUACUUGUGUCGUUCUUUUGAUUUUUACCAGCUAUAGAAAACCAAAUCCAUGUCCUUUAAUCCGAUUGGUCCAAUGUGGUUUCUUAAUUACUUAAUCAUGAAGCUUAAGUAGCUUACAAGUUACUUAACUCGGAAGCAACAAAUCACUAUAUCAGUUUAAGCACGAUAAAGUAGCUUUUCGUAAAUGUACCGAGAAGCUCAUCGGUGAAAAUAUUUUUGAACUUGACAUUUUUCUCUAAAAAUAUUUUUAUUUCGUCUAUGAAACUGCAACACAUACACAUAAUCACAUAAACGCACAUACUAGAUCUUAAUUCGACCUUAAAUCUUAUGAAAUAACAUUUACACNNNNNNNNNNNNNNNNNNNNNNNNNNNNNNNNNNNNNNNNNNNNNNNNNNNNNNNNNNNNNNNNNNNNNNNNNNNNNNNNNNNNNNNNNNNNNNNNNNNNAUUCCGUCCCCGGAAUCAUAAUACCGAACCUAUCUUACUUGUUUUAAAUCUAUUUUCCCUUGAUCAUGUUAAUUCCCUCUUAUCAGCCUUGUUUUGUGAUAAUAAAAUAUAUUAUUUGCACAUAGCAUAAAACACUCGUAUUCAUGCAUAUUCAAAUAUUAAUAAUGUUCCGCUUUCUCAUACUUAUUCCUCUAAUAUUCAAAAGUCCAAAAAUUCUCAGACUUGUGCAUUUUUUAAUCUUCAUGCAACUAUGUCCAUCCAUUCUAUUAUUCAAAAAUCUUUAUUCUCCAUAUCCCCUUCUUCAAAGAUUCGUUUAUACAGCUUGCUGUAUUCUAUGACCCAUUCCUUUCUAAAGAACUUCAUUCUUUCUAUACUCCACUGUCAGAAUAGAAAUACUUCACAAUUGUUCAACAACUGUGAGGCAAAUAUAAAGAAGUUAAGAAUUCAAACGAUUCGCUAAGGAUGAGCGUUCACGAAAUUUAUUUUAAAAAGGUUUUAACAGAAGUUAAUCUGCAAACCGUCUUGUUUAUCUUGCUUGUGGACACGUAGGUGAUUAGCCUAUGAUGCCCUGUGUUAGUUCUUGCUGGAACGACAUUCGCGUUCAUCUUGUGUAUAAUUUUUUUCCCCAUUCAGGGAUGUUCUGUAGUCUAUACCAAAUCAAUUCAGUUGGACAGUUCAAAAGCUUAAUAUUAGCAAUGAAAUAUCUACGUCUAGCCAAUUCAAAUGGCUUUGACACUACUUUAAUUUAUUUAAAAUAUUGGAAAUCAUUUUAUGACGCAUAAUACCGCACUGUUUUUUAACAAGCCGUUGAUAAUGCUGUCAUUUUAUGACUUCGUCAUGCUACAUCCUACCAUAGUGGGAUGACGAAUCAUAGAUCACAUCUAACACUAGGUGAGACUGCAUUACUGACUCCAUCAUUUGUUACAUCGACAUCAUAUUAGUGAUGCAAUAAUGACUAAAAUACAUUUUGAUAUUUUCAAUUUUUGUCUAGCCGAAACAAUUAGCAUAGACAUAAGAGAUAAUUGAAAAUUUUGAAAUUUAUUGGUUCAACAAUUUGACCCAAUAUUUAUAUAUAUAUAUAUAUAUAUAUAUAUAUAUAUAUAUAUUAAAACCGAAAGAGCAUUAAUCUGUACGAUGCCAAUAAAUUUCGAAAUCUAGCAUAACUAGAGGUUUUGAGAAUAUCCAUUUCUUCCUUCAUCAGCUUCAACUUUCUCCUUAUAGCUCCAAUAUACAAUCCUGUCACUCAUACCUAGUAUACUGAAAUUAAUAAGUUCUAAAUCUAUAACAUUCCUAUACAGUAGUAUAGUUCAUCAAACUUUCCACACAUUAUGAGUUUAGGAUUGCCAUAAGAAUAUGAGUUCAAGAACUUAUCCUAUCAAUACGUAGUCCAAGAACCAAUCAGGGACUGUCCAUACGCUUAGGGGUUCAAAACAUUCCAUAUGAUUAUGAGUCCCAAACUUUUCGUAAGCAUGAGUUUUAAGAACUCGUACCUAAUCCUAUAUAUUCUACUAUCAGAUAUAAUCCUAUAUAUUCUACUAUCAGAUAUAAUCCUAUAUUUUCUACUAUUAGAUAUAAAUAUGAGAAACGAAUCACCUUCUCACCAAACAUAUAUCGUUAGCGCGACAUCGGCAUUUCAAUGAUUAUCAAUAUAAUAAGCUAUGUGGUAGUUAAACCAAGCACAAAACCUCCGCCCAUACAAAGGUUUGUAUAACUCAGCUAUCACAUGAGUCCUCAUUGAAAUCGCACCCAUUCCUAUCUUGUUCUUAUCUUGCUCUUUACUUUAAUACGAAUUUUCUUUAAUUCAUAUUCGAACAACUUUUUAACUCUUGCUAAGUUUUAUUCAUAGUACGUUUUUAUAGCAUACAGCUAUACCUUCAAUUCUUCGAUUGAUCAUUAGCCCUUUUUAUGACUUAAGAAUAUCACGUAGUGAUCUUCCCUUGUAAAUUAUGUCAGGUGUUCCCUGAUCCUUCGGCUUUUCAAGAUUCUUCUUUGAAUCUUUGCGUAUUAUCUUAUCGCAUUAUUUUAUGAAUUUUAAAUUCAUUUUAAGAUCUUUAAACCUCAUUCAGAAUUAAACUUAGCAUUCCUUUUCUUUCCUAUCUAUCUUGUUUACGGUUAUAGCCUAGGAUGCAUUUAUCUACGAUAUAUAACCCAUAGCUUUGAUACCACUCUGGGACGACCCCAAAAUCGGGACCAAUUUAAUCCAAUAUUAGGACUAACUUAGUCUCGACCUUGUGCGUUCAAUACAAUCUAUAUUCAGCUUUACAUCAUACAAGAAUGAAAUAAUAGCUAAAAAUGUGGAAAAUUAAAGUUUUUCUUUCUUCUUUCCCUUGUUCCACGAUUCGCAACCUUUAUGAUCCCCUAUAUUAGUUAAGUAAGUGAACUAUGAAAGUUCAAGUACCAAUGCUUAUCAUUUUUAUAUACUGCUAUUCUGCCUGUAUAGUUCUACAUAUAAUCACCACAAUACAUCUCAUUUCAAAAUAAACAUUUUCUUAUUUAUUGAAUAUAUUCGAUUGUACAUAAUUGCUAACUUAUACAUGUCAACACUAUCAACUUCUAAAUCUAAGAAAGUAUUGUUCUUUCGCAUAUCGUUCAAUCCUCAUCAUCCGGACAACAAGUAAUAUCUCAACAUGUCAUUAACUUGUAAAAAGUUUAUUUUUGCAAAAUUGAGCUAGACAACUCAACAAAUCUUACAGUUUUCAUGCAUCACGCAUAAGUUAAUGCUCAAUUCAUAAUCAUUCUAAACAUGCAUUAUAACCUUGAAGGAUAAGAUUUAGCAUAUCACAUAUCAUGUCCAGACUGAGCAUAUCCGCUUAAGUCAUAAGUUGACUUUCAUACUUCAAUGGCAUAGUAGGUAAAUCAUAUAAUCAUGUCAAGUUCAUAUAACAAAUAGGAAUUGGUAGACUUGCUUUAAGCGUUCUUCUUCUUCUUUUUAACUUUAAUCACCCUUUGAUCUGGAUCUUCUUCCUCUCCCUCUUGAUCCAGCUAACCCUCCCUCUUCUCUCCAAUUUGCUAGAAUUUCCCUUCUUAAUUUUGGUGAAUUGGUGAGUACUAAGUGGAGUAGUACGGACCUAUUUAUAGAUAACUCAAGACAGCCCCUAAGCCUCAUGUUUUAACAAGCUUGACACCUCUUGCUAAAUUAAGCUUGACAAUGCAGCUUGUAACUGAAAAUAUCUUCUAAGUAGCUUGGUCAAAAAUAAUUUUUGGUUAAUUGUGGGGCUGAUUAAUGGCAACCUACUUGUGUCGUGCUUUAGAUUUUGACCAGCUAUAGAAAAUCAAAUCCAUGUCCUUUAAUCCGAUUGGUCCAAUAUGGUUUCUUAAUUACUUAAUCAUGAAGCUUAAGUAGCUUACAAGUUACUUAACUUGGAAGCACUACAAAUCACUAUAUCAGUUUAAGCAUGACAAAUCAGCCUUUCGUAAAUAUACUGAGAAACUCAUCGGUGAAAAUAUUUUUGAGCUUGACGUUUUUCUCUAAAAAUAUUUUUAUUUCGUCUAUGAAACUGCAACACAUGCACAUAAUCACAUAAACACACAUACUAGGUCUUAAUUCGACCUUAAAUCUUAUGAAAUAACAUUUACACAUAAUAAUAUCCAUUAAAUUUGAUCUUAUUAGAUAUUCAUAUUCAUGAAUCCAAAUAAUAGUUUACACGAAUUGUCUGGUUGUCAAAACAUAGCACAACUUAUAUGCACUAAUGCUAUCUAAUUUUCAUAACUUAUCGCAUAAUAAGAAUUUUAUAUAUUAAAUUUUUAUUUUAAUAUUUUACGAAAAAUCGGAGUGUCACAUUCUCUCUCCCCCCCUCCCCCUUAUAAGGAUUUCGUCUCCGCAAUCAUAAUACCGAACCUAUUCCCUCUUAUCAGCCUUGUUCUGUGAUAAUAAAAUAUAUUAUUUGCACAUAGCAUAAAACACAUACAUAUAUUCAUGCAUCUCCAAUUAUUAAUAUUGUUCCGCUUUCUCAUACUUAUUCCUCUAAUAUUCAAAAGUCCAAAAAUUCUCAGACUAGUGCAUUUUUUUUAAUCUUCAUGCAACUAUGUCUAUCCAUUCUAUUAUUCGAAAAUCUUUAUUCUCCAUAUCCUUCCAUAUCCCUUUCUUCAAAUAUUCGUUUAUACAGCUUGCUGUAUUCUAUGACCCAUUCCUUUCUAAAGAACUUCAUUCUUACUAUACUCCACUGUCAGAAUAGAAAUAUUUCACAAUUGUUCAAUAACUGUGAGACAAAUAUAAAAAACUUAAGAAUUCAAACGAUUCGAUGAGUGUUCACGAAAUUUAUUUUAAAAAGGUUUUAACAAAAGUUAAUCUGCAAACCGUCUUUCUUAUCUUGCUUGUGGACACGUAGGUGAUUAGCCUAUCAUUCCCUGUGUUAGUUCUUGUUGGAACGACAUUCGCGUUCAUCUUGUGUAUAAUUUUUUUCCCCCAUUCAGGGAUGUUUGGAAUCUAUACCAAAUCAAUUCAGUUGGACAGUUCAAAAACUUAAUAUUAGCAAUGAAAUAUCUACGUCUAGCCGAUUCAAAUGGCUUUGACACUACUUUAAUUUAUUUAAAAUAUUGGAAAUCAUUUUAUGACGCAUAGUACCGCACUGUUUUUUAACAAUCCGUUGAUAAUGCUGUCAUUUUAUGACUUCGUCAUGCUAUAUCCUGUCAUAGUGGGAUGACGAAUCAUAGAUCACAUCUAACACUAGGUGAGACUGCAUGAAUGACUCCAUCAUUUGUUACAUCGACAUCAUAUUAGUGAUGCAAUGAUGACUAAAAUACAUUUUGAUAUUUUCAAAUUUUGUCUAUCCGAAACAAUUAGCAUAGACAUAAGAGAUAAUUGAACUUUUUGAAAUUUAUUGGUUCAACAAUUUAACCCAAUAUUUAUAUAUAUAUUUUUCUUAAAACCGAAAGAGCAUUAAUCUGUACGAUGCCAAUAAAUUUUGAAAUCUAGCAUAACUAGAGGUUUUGAGAAUAUCUAUUUUUUCCUUCAUCAGCUUCAACUUUCUCCUUAUAGCUCCAAUAUACAAUCCUAUCACUAAUACCUAGUAUACCUAGUAUAAGUUCUAAAUCUAUAACAUUCCUAUACUGUAGUAUAGUUCAUCAAACUUUCCACACAUUAUGCGUUUAGGAACUUGCCAUAAGAAUAUGAGUUGAAGAAUUUAUCCUAGCAAUACGUAGUCCAAGAACCAAUCAGGGAUUGUCCAUACGCUUAAGGGUUCAAAACAUUCCAUAUGAUUAUGAGUCGCAAAGUUUCCAUAAGUAUGAGUUUUAAGAACUCGUACGUAAUCCUAUAUUUUCUAUUAUCAGAUAUAAAUAUGAGAAAAGAAUCACCUUCUCACCAAACAUAUAUCGAUAGCGCGACAUCAACAUUUCAAUGAUUAUCAAUAUAAUAAGUUCAGUGGUCGUUAAACCAAGCACAAAAUCUCUGCCCAUACAAAGGUUUGUACAACUCAGUUAUCACACGAGUCCUCAUCGAAAUCACACCCAUUCCUAUCUUGCUCUUAUCUUGCUCUUUGCUUUAAUACGAAUUUUCUUUAAUUCGUAUUCCAACAUCUUUUUAACCCUUGUUAAGUUUUAUUCAUAGUACAUUUUUAUAGCAUUCAACUAUACCUUCAAUUCUUCGAUUGAUCAUUAGCCCUUUUUAUGACUUAAGAAGAUCACGUAGUGAUCUUCUCCUAUAAAUUAGGUCACGUGUUCCCUGAUCUUUCGUCUUUUCAAGAUUCUUCUUUGAAUCUUUGUGUAUUAUCUUAUCGCAUUAUUUUAUGAAUUUUAAAUUCAUUUUAAGAUCAUUUAAACCUCAUUCAGAUUUAAACUUAGCACUCCUUUUCUUUCCCAUCUAUCUUGUUUAAGGUUAUAGCCUAGGAUACACUUAUCUAAGGUUUAUAACCCAUAUCUUUGAUACCACUCUGUGACGUCCCCAAAAUCGGGACCAACUUAAUCCUUUAAUGCUUCUCUACUGUGUGAAGAAAUUUAUGUAAUGCUCUCCUCAGUCAUAUCUGUGACGACCCCAAAAUCGAGACCAACUUAAUCCAAUACUAGGACUAACUUAGUCUUGACCUUGUGCGUUCAAUACAAUCUAUAUUCAACUUUACAUCAUACAAGAAUGAAAUAAUAGCUAAAAAUGUGGAAAAUUAAAAUUUUUCUUUCUUCUUUUCUGUGUUCCACGAAUCGCAACCUUUAUGAUCCCUUGUAUUAGUUAAGUAAGUGAACUAUGAAAGUUCAAGUACCAAUGCUUAUCAUUUUUAUAUACUGUUAUUCUGCCUGUAUAGUUCUACUUACAAACAAUCACCACAAUACAUCUCAUUUCAAAAUAAACAUUUUCUUAUUUAUUGAAUAUCUUCGAUUGUACAUAAUUGUUAACCUAUACAUGUCAACACUAUCAACUUCUAAAUCAAAGAAAGUAGUGUUCUUUCGCAUAUCGUUCAAUCCUCAUCAUCCGGACAACAAGUAAUAAUUCAACAUGUCAUUAACAUGCAAAAAGUUUAUUUUUGCAAGAGUUCGAAGCUCAACAAAUUCAACAGUUUUCAUGCAUCACAUAGCACAUAAGUUCAUUUUCAGUUCAUAAUAUAAUCAUACUAAACAUGCAUUAUAACCUCGAAGGAUAAGAUUUAACAUAUCACAUAUCAUGUCAAGACUGAGUACCAAAACUCAAUUCGCUUAAGUCAUAAGUUGAAUUUCAUACUUCAAUGGCAUAAUAGGUAAAUCAUAUAAUCAUGUCAAGUUCAUAUAACAAAUAGGAAUUAGAAGACUUGUCUUAAGCGUUCUUCUUCUUCUCCUUAGUGUUCUAAAAAUCCCCGCCUAGGUCCGCCUAGGCGCUAGGCCCCCCCUUGGCGCCCCGCCUAGGUGCUAGGCUCUCCCUUGGCGCCUCGCCUAGGCGCAAGGCCCCCUGACGCCUUAGCUAGGCCCAAGGUGGCAAAAAAAUCCCUCCAGGAAAUUAGGUGGGGGCCUAGGUGAAGAGUUUUUUUUUUUUUUAAUAACUACCUAAAUCAGAUCUUGAUAUAUUUAUUUUUCUAAUGAUUUACCAUAUUCAUAAUAUAUGUUAUAGCAUAUCAAAUUACAACAAGAAGUGAAAAAUAUCAAAACAAAAUGGAUAAUUUUAUUAUAGUUGUAAUUUUUUGAACUUGUACCAACUUUAAAUUAUAUAAAUGAUGAUACAUUUGUAAUAUUUAGUUUAAUUCAAUAUAAUUCUUAAAUUUAUGUUUAGUUUCUUAAGUUUUAAUAUUGAAUUAAAUUUUUGAAAUUUGAAAUUUUAUUAUUUAAUAGCAAUCUUGUUUAUGAAUAAAACUAAUACGUUAAAAAUAUGUUUGAACUUUGAACAAUUGCAUGUUUGUGUUUGAACUUUAACAUUAGCAAUAUGGAUGUGUUUGAACUUUAAGCAAAUGCCUUUAUUAUCUUUAUUAUAGAUUAUUUUGCUUUAUAUUAUUUUUUUUUUGGAUAAAUGUAAGAUAAAAUAUUAAAAUUGGCUUAAAAUAAAAAAUCCCGCCGCCUUGCGCCUUUUAGAACAUUGCUUCUUCUUCUUAGCUUUAAUCACCCCUUGAUCUUGAUCUUCUUCCACUCCCUCUCCCUCUUUUCUCUCCAAUUUACUAGAGUUUCCCCUCUUAGUUUUGGUGAAUUGGUGAGUAGUAAGGGCCUAUUUAUAGAUAAUUCAAGACUUAUCCCCUAAGUCUCGUGUUUUAACAAGCUUGAUACCUCUUGCUAAAUUAAGCUUGACAAGGCAUAUAGUCAGCCACCUCGUGCUAGGUUUUAGCUUGACAAGGCUUAUGGUCAGUCACCUUGUGCUAGGUUUUAGCUUGACAUGGCUUAUGGUCAGCCACUUCGUGCUAGGUUUUAGCUUGACAAGGCUUAUGGUUAACCACCUCUUGGUAGUUUUAGCUUCACAGUGCUUAUGGUCAGCCAGCUCGUGCUAUGUUAAAAGCUUGACAAUGCAGCUUGUAACUGAAAUUAUCUUCUAAGUAGCUUGGUCAAAAAUAAUUUUUGGUUAAUUGUGGCAACCUACUUGUGUCUUGCUUUAGAUUUUGACCAGCUAUAGAAAACCAAAUCCAUGGCUUUUAAUCCGAUUGGUCCAAUGUAGUUUUUUAAUUACUUAAUCAUGAAGCCUAUGUCGCUUACAAGUUACUUAACUUGAAAGCACUUCAAAUCACUAUAUCAGUUCGACAAAGCAGCUUUUCGUAAAUAUACCGAGAAGCUCAUCGGUGAAAAUAUUUUUGAGCUUGACGUUUUUCUCUAAAAAUAUUUUUAUUUCGUCUAUGAAACCGCAACACAUACACAUAAUCACAUAAACACACAUACACACAUACUAGGUCUUAAUUCGACCUUAAAUCUUAUAAAAUUACAUUUACACAUAAUAAUAUCCAUAAAAUUUUAGUUUAUUAGAUAUUCAUAUUCAUGAAUCCAAAUAAUAGUUUACACGAAUUGUCUGGUUGUCAAAACAUAGCACAACUUAUAUCCACUUAUGUAAUCCAAUUUUCAUAACUUAUCGCAUAAUAAGAAUUUUAUAUAUUAAACUCUUAUGUUAAUAUUUUACGAAAACACGUACUGUCACAAUAUCCUUUAGGUUGUCCUAUUUUGAUAUUUCUCUAUGGAGAUCCUUUUGAAAUUCCUAUUCUUGCAUAAUUAGUCUUAUGUAUUUGAUUCCAGUUUUGAUAUAUAUGAAUGGCCUUGUUAACGAAUUACGAAUUCUUGCUCCCCUACUAAAUUACCCUUUCCGAAUUGCAAGCCUGGAAAAUUAGUUUAAGUUUAGCAGCCACAUGAUUUUGUAAUCCCCGGCAACUGUUUUUGAGGACAUUCUAUUUUUACAGUUCAAGAACUUUCUUAUGUCUGUUAUUGUAUACUGUUGCUACUAAAUGUAGUUUGUCGGUUUUCAUAAGAGUUCGAAACAGCUACUGCUACUUGGUUCAGAAUCUGGAUGUUUAUUUUUUUAGAUUCUUAGAACAUAUAUAUAUAUAUAUAUAUGGGAGAUGAUCACAGUAAGGCUUAGACAUGGUCACUGUUUUAACUAGUGUAUCUCUCACUGUCCAAGUCAAGAUAUAAGGCUUAGGAUAGAAUUAGAAGCGGGAGGGGGUAAUGUCCUAAAUGCCCCCACAUUAGGUAGAUUUAAAUAGCUUCUGACCUUUAGAGGAGCGGAAAGUCAAAACGCACCUUAAAAUUGUCUCAUACUAAUUACCAUUUAAAAUUUUAGCUCCAUAUUGAAUAUAUCUAUUGGUAUAAAUAAUUUAUUAAAUAAUAAAAUUUAAAAUUGCAAUGUAUUUAUCAGUAUAAAUAAUUUUAAGUAAUAAAAUUUUAAAAUUGUCGAUGUAUUAAUUAGUAUAAAUAAUAUCUUCAGUAAACAAAUUUAAAAUUGUCUCGUGCCAACUACUUUUUAAAAUUUUAACUCCAUAUUGAAAUACAAUUUAAUUUAAUUAUAUUCAAUGUAUUUAUUAGUAUAAAUAAUUUUUUAAGUAAUAAAAUUUAAAAUUGUCAAUGUAUUUAUUAGUAUUAAAAUAUUUGAAGUAAUAAAAUUUAAAAUUGUCAACUAAAGUAUUCCGCUCCUCUAAGGGGUGGAAUCUAUUUAAAUCUAACUAAAGUAUUGGCGGCUUGGACAGAGAAAGAUGCACUAGCUGAAACAGUGUCCCUAUAUCUAAGCCUUGUUGUGGAUCAGAUCCAUAUAUAUAUAUAUAUAUAUAUAUAUAUCUAUAUAUAGAAUCCGGAUCUUAAGUUCACCCCUUAUCUAACUCACCCGAGCUCACCCCCCUUUAGCGACGGACUCAACGACGAUUCGGUCAUACAACCGUCGUUUAUACUUUUAGGGACGCUAUAUGUUGUCCGUCGUUAAAAGUAUAAACGACAGUUGUAUAACUGAACCGUCGUCGGGUCCGUCGCUNNNNNNNNNNNNNNNNNNNNNNNNNNNNNNNNNNNNNNNNNNNNNNNNNNNNNNNNNNNNNNNNNNNNNNNNNNNNNNNNNNNNNNNNNNNNNNNNNNNNAUAUAUAUAUAUAUAUAUAUAUAUAUAUAUAUAUAUAUAUAUAUAUAGGGAAUACAUCCAUGGCAACCGGUUGUUGGGAACAACCCAAAAAGUCAAAGCACAACAACUUAAUAUUAUAAGGUUACAACUUGUUGUAACCUUCUUUUUGGCACUUGUUUUUUUUACCACUUUGAUUAUUAAUAUUAUUCUAUUAAUAUUUUGUAAUAUUAGUAUUUAUAAUAUUUAUAUUUAUAAUAUUAAUAUUAAUGAUAAUAUUUUGUAAUAUUAUUAAUACUUAAUAUUAUAAGUAUUAAUAUUUUUAAGGUAUACUUCACUAGGUACUACAUGAUAUAAUUUAUAGAUAUAAGUUCGUUCUCUUUUGUUGUCUCCCUUUAUUUACAACUUUUAACAUAUUUAAUUUUUUUGUGGCGUUUCUCCCUUUUACACCGUGAUUUCUUCUUUAUUUGGUCCAAAACCGCUACGUUAUGCCUAUAUUUCUUUUUUAUUUGGUUCGAAACCACUAUAUUAUGCCGAGUCGCCAAAAUUUGGCAGAAAAUUACUUUUACAUGAAUAUUUUCUAAUUUUGCGAUUUGUGUCAAAGUUGCGGUUCAGCAUUGACCGAUACCUAACCGAUACACUGAUAUUUCGGCGUAACGGCCAAUACUUUGAACCACGGCACCUAAUCAAUGUUUUUUGUUUUGGUUUGUUUUGCUCUGUUGCAAUGACUGAAUUUCUUUGAUGUGAUUUCCAUUUGUGAUUGGUACAUUAAUAUGCUGCUUUUUAUAGUUUAUUUGAGUAAUUAAUAUAGGUUUUUCAUAAUUUCUGCAAGGCCUGCAAAUUUUCAUCCCAUGAGUCAUGAAGUGUAUGCUGAGAUGUCCAAUUUUUAUCAUCAAAUAAUUCUCCACAAGGAAAGAGUUCUGAAGUAAGAAAAUACCUUUAAUUACCUUUUAUUCAUUGAGUUUGAACAGGACAAAGGUUAUAGUCAGAUUUCAUCAUUUGGAUAAGUCUAUAAUUUUUACUUAUUUAUGUUGAUUUUCCUGUAAAAUAUGUGGCUGAUUCGACUUGCGCUAUGUUCAGGGCGGAUCCAGGAAUUUUGUUCACCAGGGGCAGAUUUUAACUAAUUUUUUUGUUGAAGUUAAAUAAAUUUUUUUUGAACUAAUCAUAAUAUUAAUUAUUCAUACUAAUGUUUACAAAUUACAAUAAUAUCCUCCUUGACCUCAUAGCUUAAAAAUGUUCUAAGAUAACUUCAUUAUCAAUAGUUUCAAACAAAAUCAACUCACAACCGUCAAAAUAAAUUCACAAUAAAAAUCUGAUAACAUACAUGAUAGGAAUCACUGAUCAGUGUUAGCCAUGUAAAUAAACCAAAUUACUUAACAUAGAACCCCAAUUAGGGGUGGAUGAAUUUAUAAUUUUCUUUUCAAAAUCGCUAUAAGAUAUUUUAAUAUUCAAAAUUAAAGUUUAAACUAAUUCAAUCCCUAAUUUUAACAAAUUAAAUUUAAUUUAAGGUAUUUUAAUAUUCAAAAUUAAAGUUUAAAAUUUAUAUGAUAUUUUAUUUGAUAAUUUAAAAUUUGUAGUUUAUUUGUUUUUACAUUUUUCUUUUCAAAGUCACUAUAAGAUAUUUUAAUAUUCAAAAUUAAAGUAAUUCAUGAAUUUAUUAUGUCAGUAAGUGACUUUCAUUAGUACCAGAAUACAUUUUUUCCCCUCCUACAUAAUAUACAUGAAAACUGAAAUCAAUUACUACCAAUUUGAAGAGAAGAUAGACCCAGAUUUCAAUUUGAUAAAUGGUAAUUUUGUAGGAACAUAUAUUCCCCUAAUAACAACUUCUAACAAGCCCUAAAUCAAAUAACAAAACUAUUCAAAUAACUAAUAAUUCCCCCUCCCAUUUGCAUUUCUGACUUUUGUCUUAAUAAAUUAUUGGAAUUCAAUUUUCCAUCAAAUACUGUAGACAAAUUCAUCCCAAAUUCCAGAAGUUUGCUAAAUAAACCCUUGGAAUUCAAUUUUACAUGAAAUUAAAAGUUUGCUAAGUACUGUAGACAAAUUCAAAUAAACUACAAAUUUUAAAUUAUCAAAUAAAAAGAGCCUAAUUUUGUUACCUUCUAAAUCUCAUACGCUCAAGGGGUAGAGACCGCAAUAGAAUGAGAAAAGGAGAAGACGAGAAGAGAAGACGAGGUUGCGGACUCGCGGUGGUUGCGGUGCUUGGCCAAGCUGUGAAGGCGUGAAGUAGAGGAAGAGUUUUUUUAAUUUAAGUAUGCUCUGAGGACCGAGGCAGAAGAGUUCUUUAUGUGAAGGUGGGAAGUGAAGUCUCUCCCCUCACUCUCAGUAAGCAAAUUAAUUAAGAUUAGAAUGGAAUGUUUUCUUUUGCCUUACCAAGUUUACCUUUUUUAUUAAUCUG
rnacentral:lncRNA from 1 species